rnacentral:rRNA from 1 species
UAACCUGCCUUGGAUGGGAAUAACAGUUGGGAAACAGCUGCUAAUACCGCAUGAUGCAGUUGAGUCGCAUGGCUCUGACUGCCAAAGAUUUAUCGCUCUGAGAUGGACUCGCGUCUGAUUAGCUAGUUGGCGGGGUAACGGCCCACCAAGGCGACGAUCAGUAGCCGGACUGAGAGGUUGGCCGGCCACAUUGGGACUGAGACACGGCCCAGACUCCUACGGGAGGCAGCAG